GCUCGGAGCCCGGUGCCUCCCGGUGUGGGGCGGGGGGGUUGGCGCCGGGGCCCCGGCUGCUCGUAGUCCGGCCGUCCCGGUGGAGUUGGGAGGGGAGGCGGCGCCCUCGUCGGCGCCCCGCUGGCCCGGGCGUCCCGUCUCUCGGCGCCUUCGGACGGGAGGGGCACUCGCCGUAAGGGGGUCCCGGAGGACCUGUCCAGCCGGAGGGGAGCGUCGGGGGGCGCGGCCCGGAGCCCCAGGAGCCCCAGGAUGGAGGGUGGACCGAGUCAGCGCCCGGGGUCGGUUGCGGGAUCCCUGGCGCGCGUUCUGGGAGAUCUGGCUGGGCGGGGGGCGCCCCUCGGGCGGGGGGCUGCGACGCCCCCACGUAGCCCCUGGCGGCCGAGGGCAGCCGGGCGCCGCCCCCUGCCGGCCAGGUCCGAGCGCCGCAGGGUCGCCCCUUUCUGGAGCGGAGUUGGAGGAGCGUCUAGUGUGGAGCCUCGGCUUCCAGACCCGGAGCCCGGCGGCCCUGACUUGCUUUGUGACCUUGGGCGGGUCACUGCGUCUCUUCGAGCCUCAGUUUGCACAUCUAUCAAAUGGAGAGGAUAAGUCUCCCACCCUGCAGGAUCUGUGGCAGAAGAUUGCGUGCUGAGUGCGGGCUGAAGGUGUCUGUGCACCCUCCCAUCACUGGACCUGGCAGAGAUAGACCCCAUUCAGCCAUGAGGCAUGUGGGAUCCUAGUUCCCUGACCAGAGAUCAAACCCGUGCCCCCUGCACUGGAAGCAUGGAGUCCCAACCACUGGACUGCCAGGGAAGUCCCUUGGCUACUUUUUAUUUUUUGACAUUUUCCAGAUUUUAUAAUUGGAGAAACUGAGGUGAAAGGUUGACUUGCUCAAGAAACUGAUUAAAUUUCAAAACUUGCAUUCAUUUACAGAUAGAGAGACUGAUUGAUUGAUAGAAACACACAUUAAAACUUCUCAGUCUUCCUCUCUUUAUUUCACUCGCAUGACACCCCCGGGAGAUAGACUUGAUACCCUGAUUUUACAGAGAAGACUCAGACUGUGGGAGGUCCCAUGAGAUAGAGAGAAUGAGAUGAAAUAACAGCUGUGGAUGUACUUUGUGGAAAUCAUUCUCAGAUUUGUGGAGGAUUUGCCCGUCCAGGGCGCACUCAUCCGUACCACACAGCUUCCAGAGAAAGAACAGGCAUGAAUUCCUCUGUGGGGGAUUGAUUCUACUGCAACAAAUCUUUAUCACAGGGCUUCCCUGGUGGCGCAGUGGUUGAGAGUCCGCCUGCUGAUGCAGGGGACACGGGUUCGUGCCCCGGUCCGGGAAGAUCCCACAUGCCGCGGAGCGGCUGGGCCCGUGAGCCGUGGCUGCUGGGCCUGCCUGCUCGUCUGGAGCCUGUGCUCCGCAAUGGGAGAGGCCACAACAGUGAGAGGCCCGCGUACCGCAAAAAAACAAACAAACAAAAUCUAUCACAGCCUUGUUUUUUUUUUCCUUCCUCCAAAAGGAUGGGACUGGCUUCUGAGAAUACAUUAAGCCCAUACAUCCUGUUUGUUUCUGGCAAGGUUUUACGACUCGCUUAGUUAAAGAUCCUUCCGAAAGGGGAGGUGACUGAUCUUCCUGCAGUCUGGAGGAAGCCUUAGUUAAGAGUGAUAAAAAGGGCACCUGUGGUAUGGCAGCCACUGUGCCUUCCUGGAAUCCACAUAGCAGUUCUGGGAAAAAGGUGCUGGGACCCCAUUUACAGAUGCGAAGAAAAGCGCAGGAGGUGAAAUGACUUGCCUCCAUCCCACAGUAGGGAUUGUUUGGUGGGAAGGAACUGAAAAUCCUCUGUCUGAUUUCUUUCUCAGGGCCUGGUGUGUCCAUUUGAACUGACUCAACUAGGAAAAGUGCAAGUUGCUACAAAUGAAGUUUCCUGGGUCUAGGGGCUGCUCAUGGACAUAUAAGGAUAAGGAGUAUCACUGGGCUUGGAAGGCUCCUUCCUCCUCUCCUAGGGCAGGUGGUUCCCCUCUCUCUCUGCUCCUUUCUCUGCUCCGUUCUCCCGCCUCUCUCUGCAGACCUGUUUUUGUUUUGCUUUGUGUUUUUGGUUUGUUUACUUACGGCUUUUCUGCUCCCCGCCACCACUUGCCCUGGCUUUGGUCAUGGCUGUGACCCGACUCUCGCCCCAGCAUCCUUAGCUUUCAAGUUGCUUCCCCUCCAUCAUCUAUCCACCCAGCUGCUUACAACCUCCAAUCUAAAUUCCCCAGAGAGAAUCUGCUGGCUUGUUUUGACUCACAUGUCCACCCUGGUCCAGUCAGCUGUGGUCAGAGGUGGUCUGUGGACCAAGUAGGGAUUGGGACCCAGGUCUGUCUGCCUGCUUUUUCUCCUCCAUCCCUCUGCAGAGAUGCUGGAGCUGGAGGAUGCAUGGUAUGGCUAGAAUCUGUGUGAUCUGGAUUCCAGGGAAGAUGCUGCUGGGCUCUGGAGAGGCUGAGGAGGGUCCUUGCUGCUGCUGUGAGGGCUCUCAGAAGUGUGGUGGGCAGGGGAGAAGCUCCCUGGUAUGGCUGGUAGUUCUGACAAUGACAGACAUCACUCACUAAAACGGACAGUGAUGCCUUGUUUCUAGUGAGGGAAGAGACCUUGUUGCCUGGAGACCUGAACAUGGUUGGAUACAUCCUAGAGAAACCAGAGAAGUCAUCAUUUACUAUGUUGGGCAUUUGGGUCCAUGUUCUUACCAGUUCUCCCCAAACUCCGGUGAGGUAUGAAGUAUCACCUCCAUCACUGAGUGACUUACCCAAUGGCCACAGUGAGGAAAAGGAGAAACGGGGAUUGGGGUCUGAGCCUGCCUGACCUAAAAUGUAUGCUUUUAGCCACUCCCUCCAGCUCUGUUACCAUGGUUACAUUUGUUCAGGAUGCUACAGUUACAGCACAUCACAUACAUGAUCUUACUGGAACUACUAAACACCCCUUUGGGGCAGCACAGCCAUGCUAAUGUUCCCAUUUUACCAAUGAAGAAACUGAGGGUCAAAGAGAAAUCAUGCCUUGCCCAUGAUUACCCUGCUGGUCAGUGGCAGAGAUGGGAUCAGAACCCAGAUCUUUGGAACCAGGAUGUAUGGAUAGGUAUUAAUGUAUGAAAAUCAAUGUAUCAGUGCUGGUAGUGGGGUUCUCUUUUUUUAUAAUGUACAAAAUUAAGAAGAAUUACAGAUAUAUCAUUCCCUACAAAAGAGUGUAUAUAAAUAUAUACAUAAAACAUACUUACAGAUUAAAGACUAACAAUAAACCUCCAUGUACUCACCACCACCUUAAAAACCAGAACAUCACUGAUACCUUUAAAACCCUUCCACGAUGAUUACAUCCCCUCUUCUUUUCCCCUCUAGUGGUAACCACUAUCCUGAAUUUUAUUUUAUUAUUAUUAUUUUUAAUUAUUUUAUUUAUUUUUGGCUUCGUUGGGUCUUCUUUGCUGCACAGAGGCUUUCUCUAGUUGCAGCAAGUGGGGGCUACUCUUUGUUGCAGUGCGCAGGCUUCUCAUCGCGGUGGCUUUUCUUGUUGCAGAGCACGGACUCUAGGCACGCGGGCUUCAGUGGUUGCAGCGCACAGGCUCAGUAGUUGUGGCACACGGGCUUAGUUGCUCCGCGGCAUGUGAGAUCUUCCCGGACCAGAGAUUAAACAUUUGUCCCUUGCAUUGGCAGUCAGAUUCUUAACCACUGUGCCGCCAGGGAAGUCCCUUUAUUUUUUAUUUAUUUACUUAUUUUUGGCCGCACCACGCGGCUUGCGGGAUCUUAGUUCCCCGACCAGGGAUCAAACUUGAGCCCCCUGCAGCGAAAGCCCUGAGUCUUAACCACUGGACCACCAGGAAAUUCCCCUGAAUUUUAUAUUUAACAUUUCCUUGCUUUUCCUUAUGGCUUUGCCACAUAUGUUAAUAUCCUUAAACAGUUUGUUUCUUCUGGCAUGUUUUUGACGUUGGCACUGUUAUGUGUGUGAGAGUCAUCCAUUAUGAUGCGUGUGCUUUGGUUUACUCAGUCUUGCUUCUCUGUAGCACCCGUCAUAGGAAUAUGCCACAUUCUGCCAUUCUGCUGCUGAUGGACGAUUGGGUGGUUUCCAGUUGUUUGCUGUUACAGUCAGUACCACCUUAACUAUUCUCGUUCCUCUCUGCUGGGGAACACAUCAAAGAGUUUCUCUGUCUUAUAUACCUGGGAGUGAAAUUACUGGGCUGUGAGGUAGUCAUUACAUUUUUAGAUUUACGGCAUAAGGCCAAAUUGUUUGCUAACAAGGCUCCUCUAAUUUAUACUCUGCUAGUGGGAGGUGACAAUUCCUGUUGGGCCACAUCUUUACCAAACUGACAUGACGUGAUCAGAUUAAAAUUUUUUACCUAUCUGCUGGAUGAAGAUAGUAUCUCA